AAAAAAAGCCCCGCCAUCAUGGCGGGGAAAGACAGGGAUGGUGUCUAUGGCAAGGAAAACAGGGUAUUACUUGGUA
rnacentral:ncRNA from 1 species